UACACUCCUACGGGAGGCAGCAGUAGGGAAUCUUCGGCAAUGGGGGCAACCCUGACCGAGCAACGCCGCGUGAGUGAAGAAGGUUUUCGGAUCGUAAAGCUCUGUUGUAAGUCAAGAACGAGUGUGAGAGUGGAAAGUUCACACUGUGACGGUAGCUUACCAGAAAGGGACGGCUAACUACGUGCCAGCAGCCGCGGUAAUACGUAGGUCCCGAGCGUUGUCCGGAUUUAUUGGGCGUAAAGCGAGCGCAGGCGGUUUGAUAAGUCUGAAGUUAAAGGCUGUGGCUCAACCAUAGUUCGCUUUGGAAACUGUCAAACUUGAGUGCAGAAGGGGAGAGUGGAAUUCCAUGUGUAGCGGUGAAAUGCGUAGAUAUAUGGAGGAACACCGGUGGCGAAAGCGGCUCUCUGGUCUGUAACUGACGCUGAGGCUCGAAAGCGUGGGGAGCGAACAGGAUUAGAAACCCCGGUAGUCCCAUG
rnacentral:rRNA from 1 species